CUUUUAAAUAAGUAAGAGUUUGUGGUGGAUGCCUUGGGUCUGAAAGUCGAUGAAGGACGUGAUUACCUGCGAUAAGCCUCGUGGAGCUGGAUAUAAGCUGCGAUACGGGGAUUUCCGAAUGGGGGAACCUAGUUAGAGCAUAAAUCUAACUGCAUUAAGAUGAAUAAAUAGUCUUAAUAGCGAGACACGUUGUGAACUGAAACAUCUUAGUAGCAACAGGAAAAGAAAAUAAAUAAUGAUUCCAUUAGUAGCGGCGAGCGAAAUUGGAAGAGCCCAAACCAACUAUAUGUUGGGGUUGUAGGACUAUCUACAUAAAGUUACAAAUUUUUGAUAUAGCAGAAAAAGUUGGGAAGCUUUAGCAUAGAAGGUGAUACUCCUGUAUGCGAAAUAUCAAAAACUUUUGAUAGUAUCCUGAGUAGGGCGGGGCACGUGAAACCCUGUCUGAAUCUGCCAGGACCAUCUGGUAAGGCUAAAUACUAAUCAGACACCGAUAGUGAACUAGUA
rnacentral:rRNA from 2 species